UUGAAACCCUAGCUAUAAAUAUAAGUUUAUUAAGUCAAUGUAUAUGGAGAGAUAUUUUGAGAGAGGAGACUACCCAGAAGACUGAAGUAGAGAAUGAUUGACAAUGCCUUUGAGGUGAUGAUAUUUAAGGAUUUUUAGAGGAAGUGUUAGGGUGAAGUUUCUUUUGGUAUGGCUUUUGGAGAUUAUGAAGAAUAAUAAGUUUUAGGAGUUCUGAUGUUGUGAAGUGAGCGGGAAAAGAAGUUUAGUGAUUUUGGGAUUGAAUGGUCUUCGAAUAGUUUUAUAUUUAUUGGCCAAUUGGCAUUAUGUA